rnacentral:piRNA from 1 species
UAUAUAAAGACUCAGGAUGGACU